CUAAGGAAGCUAUUGCACCCGUCGCCCAAGACAAGUCAAUGAAAGAGAAAAGAAAAACUAAAAACUAAUCCUAAGGCAUUCUCUCCUUCUACCCGUCGACCCUCACCCAAGAAAAAGAAAUAAAAUUACAUCUUCCUUUCCAAGAGCUAACCGAUGCACACCUUACUCUUUUCUUCUUCUCUUUUCUUUUUAUCUUCAAGAAAAUAAGCUCAUUUAUCUUCUUCAAGCUUGUGACUCCAUAGCAAUGGAAGAAGAAAAAUAUUUUCUUCAAAGCUUGGAACCAAAGCUUGAUCUUAUCUUCCAAAGGAUGAAAUAUUGAAGUGCUAUCACUUUGUUCUUCAUCUACACGGGUUUAUCACCAAUUGGUCCUCCACUUGUGUUUUGAAAGAAGCUAAGAGCUCAAGUCGAGGUGAGGAGUAAUCAUUGGGGUUAAUGCUAAGCAUAUGAUGGAUGUUAGAUUGUAAUAUCGUGGCUUUCUCUUUUAAAGGGAGGGCUAAAGAACAUUGUAUAAGUAUUAACACGCUUAUGCUAUUUAUUGGAAUAUGACCUAUAUUGAUGAUGGAAGUAUCGAGAAGUAUAGAGGAAAUGAUGAAAAGACUGUAGAGCAAGGCACUACUGCAGAGGGAGAGGCAGAAGCUUAGGACAUUCCCUAACCAGAACAAUUAUGUUUAUGGAUGAUAGGUUAUGUUUUUAUGAACGUAUGAGGGACUCUGAGAGUCUCUUAUGAAUGAAUGUUCGAAUAGACUAUCCAUCAGGUGUCUCCUUAUUUAAAUGAAAAUUUAGAGUGCACAUGUGUCAUGUC